rnacentral:rRNA from 1 species
GACGGGUAGUAUCCUGGAAUUGCCCAGUCGAGGGGGAUACAGUUGGAAACGAUGCUAAUACCGAUACGCCUACGGGGGAAAGCAGGGACUUCGGGCCUUGCGCGAUUGGAUAUCCAGGUGGAUUAGCUAGUUGUGAGGUAAUGGUCACCAAGGGAAGAUCCCUACUGGUCUGAAGGAUGAUCAGCACACUGACUGAGACACGGUCCAGACUCCUACGGGAGGGAGCAGUGGGGAAUAUUGCACAGUGGGGGAAACCUGAUNCAGGCAUGGCCGGUUGUGUGAAGAAGGGCUUCGGGUUGUAAAGCACUUUCAGCGAGAGGAAAGGUCAGUAGGUAAUAUCUGUGACUGUGAGUUACUCGCAGGAAGAAGCACGCGGGGUAAUCCGGUGCAGAGCGGGUAAUACCGGAGGUGCAAGCGUUAAGUCGGGAAUUACUUGGGGGGUAAAGNGCACGCANGGGGGGUUUGGGAUAAAGUUCAGAUUGUGAAAAGCCCGGGGUCAACUGGGGAAUUGGGUUUAAAAACUGUCCAGGUAGGAGUCUUCGUAAGAAGGGGGGGGUUAGAAAUUCCAGGUGUAAGGGUGAAAGUGGUAGAGAANACUAG